rnacentral:lncRNA from 10 species
GCUUCAUUGAUUUCUUUUUCAGCAGUUUGUGAUUAGUGUGUAGAAAAACUACUGAUUUUUGUAUUUUGAUUUUGUAUCUUGCAGCUUUACUUGUUUAUCAGUUCUAAGGGUUUCCUGGUGGAGUCUUUAGUUUUUUCUAUAUAUAAGAUAAUCCUGCAGAGAGGGAAAAUUUGACUUCCUCUUUUCCAGUUUGGAUGCGUUUUUAUUUAUUUUUCUUGCCUAAUUCCUCUCACUAGGACUUUCAUGUUGUGUUUAGUAGAGUGGCGAGAGUGGCAUCCUUAUCUUGUUCCAGUUGUCAGAGAUGGAAAAUUCUUAAAUGUUUUAAAUGAAGGCUGAAGAGAACCAGUAAAGAAAGAUUUAAAGUAUGAAGGAGCAAUAAUAUGCCCCCACCAAUGUCUUUUCCUACUAAACUCAUCAAAACAAGUCACAGAGAAACAAUGGGCAAAAUGUAUUCACUUUUUAAAAAUCUUCACUUAAUACAUGGUUUUGUUGCAGUGUUCUUUUAUAUAGGAAGUCAAAUUUGUAACUUUUAAAAAUAAAUGAGAUUUUUGUUUAUUUGUUGUCUCGAAAACGUUUACAAAACUCACUGAAAGCAUAAACAAAGAUUUUUUUUGUACAUUUAAAAUAAUUUUAGAAAAACUAUCACAUAUGACUAGGACAUACAUUUACUAUGAAUCACAGCUUAUAUGUACAGCAAAUGUACAAUCCUUUUAAUUUGUCUUCAGUUAAUCUGACCUUUCUAAUCUCCCUAGUUUUCAUACACUAGAAAUAAAAAUAACUUUGUGUCUUACCUUAUUUAAGAUCUGAUGAUGACUGUCCUUCUUGGAAUAAUAGCAGUCUCUCACAUCCCAGUUAACCAAAUACAGACUUUGGCCUCCAAUAUCAAGGAUCCCCCAAGUGGAGAAGAGAUGUUAACAAGCAAACAGUGGAGUCAGAAGACACUGGGCCAGAGAUGUCAACCCUUAAACUCUACAAUGAUAUCCGUCCCCCUGUACACACUUCCCAGCCAGGGAAGGAAGAGGUGGAAGAGAAAUUGAAAACUAAGCUUUAUUUUUCUAAACAGAUGAAAUUGAAAACUAAGCUUUGUUUUACUAAACAAAUUGAGAAAUAAUAAAAGGUAAAUUAACAGAGCUGACAUGGUGGCGCAUACCUGUAACUCCAGCUAUUCAGGAGCCUGAGAUGGGAAGAUCACUUGGACCCAGGAGUUUGAGACCAGCCUGGGCAACAUAGUGAGUCCCCAUCUCUACCAAAAAAAUUAGAAAUUAGCUGGGCAUGGUGGUGCAUGCCUGUAGUUCCAAAUACUCAGGAGGUUAAG